AUGGUCUCCAAAUGCAAACAUAAGAAAGAAGCCCAACUGUCUGUCCCCACGCCCACGGCAUACCCUUCGUUUCCACCUCCCGACCGGGGCGGCGGCCUGCCCAGGCCGACAGAGGCGCCGCGGCCGUACGAGCUGGUGUUCGCGGAGGCGGAGCUCCGCUCCAUGGACUGCAACCUCUCGACGCUCUGCGACAACGUCCAGGCAGAGGGAUUCGGCUCUAGCGGCUUCUCCAAUGCCGUUGUCAAGGCCAUGGGCGUCACCUACCGUCUUCACCGUCUCCUCAUCUCCCGCAACACCUAUUUUAGGUGGGCUUCCUUCUCGAAUAUAGAUGCGGCGACCGAGUAUUUAGGAUUCCAUAUACUGUCAAUGCAUCAGUACGUCUAUUGGGCUGCGCCGUGUGGAUGUUUCAGUAUGUCUCAUCCCCUCCCUUCAGCAAGCAGCACACUAUACAUGAGGAGAUUGACCCCAAAGUCCUAA
rnacentral:rRNA from 1 species